UAACAGAUCCAGCUUGCUGGAUGCUGACGAGCGGCGGACGGGUGAGUAAUGCAUAGGAAUCUGCCCGAUAGUGGGGGAUAACCUGGGGAAACCCAGGCUAAUACCGCAUACGUCCUACGGGAGAAAGGGGGCUUCGGCUCCCGCUAUCGGAUGAGCCUAUGUCGGAUUAGCUAGUUGGUGAGGUAACGGCUCACCAAGGCCACGAUCCGUAGCUGGUCUGAGAGGAUGAUCAGCCACAUCGGGACUGAGACACGGCCCGAACUCCUACGGGAGGCAGCAGUGGGGAAUAUUGGACAAUGGGGGGAACCCUGAUCCAGCCAUGCCGCGUGUGUGAAGAAGGCCCUCGGGUUGUAAAGCACUUUCAGCGAGGAAGAACGCCUAGCGGUUAAUACCCGCUAGGAAAGACAUCACUCGCAGAAGAAGCACCGGCUAACUCCGUGCCAGCAGCCGCGGUAAUACGGAGGGUGCAAGCGUUAAUCGGAAUUACUGGGCGUAAAGCGCGCGUAGGUGGCUUGAUAAGCCGGUUGUGAAAGCCCCGGGCUCAACCUGGGAACGGCAUCCGGAACUGUCAAGCUAGAGUGCAGGAGAGGAAGGUAGAAUUCCCGGUGUAGCGGUGAAAUGCGUAGAGAUCGGGAGGAAUACCAGUGGCGAAGGCGGCCUUCUGGACUGACACUGACACUGAGGUGCGAAAGCGUGGGUAGCAAACAGGAUUAGAUACCCUGGUAGUCCACGCCGUAAACGAUGUCGACCAGCCGUUGGGUGCCUAGCGCACUUUGUGGCGAAGUUAACGCGAUAAGUCGACCGCCUGGGGAGUACGGCCGCAAGGUUAAAACUCAAAUGAAUUGACGGGGGCCCGCACAAGCGGUGGAGCAUGUGGUUUAAUUCGAUGCAACGCGAAGAACCUUACCUACUCUUGACAUCCUGCGAAUUCGGUAGAGAUACCUUAGUGCCUUCGGGAACGCAGAGACAGGUGCUGCAUGGCUGUCGUCAGCUCGUGUUGUGAAAUGUUGGGUUAAGUCCCGUAACGAGCGCAACCCUUGUCCUUAUUUGCCAGCGCGUAAUGGCAGGAACUCUAAGGAGACUGCCGGUGACAAACCGGAGGAAGGUGGGGACGACGUCAAGUCAUCAUGGCCCUUACGAGUAGGGCUACACACGUGCUACAAUGGUCGGUACAAAGGGUUGCCAACU
rnacentral:rRNA from 1 species